AAAUACUCGGAUGUGGCAUAGUCAAGGUCUUACACUAUGUGAACAACAUUUGAUUUCAACAGAUAUGAUGAGUAGGCAAUACUCUUUGGUGAAUCUGUGAGAACAUGCAAAUAAAAAAUAAUUUGAGUCUAAGGCAUUUGAUUUAUAUAAAUAAUACUCACCAAAUAAAGGAAUGCUGGAAAAUUUUAUGAAUGAAGCUCAUGAGAAAUUGAAGAAUCUAAUGAAAAAGAAAUGCUUGAUAAAGGACAAACAUGGUUCCUGAGAUUGCAUAAGGAUAUUCCUUUCUUGCACCUUAUAAUUAACAAAAAAGGUAUCUCGCAUAAUUUAUGAUUUGAAAUCAUGUAUUCAUUUUAUUACAUGUAACUUUUGUAAAUUAAAUUACUACUAAAACUUGAAAGGUAGAUGCAAUGAUGAAAGUUAUCCUUUUAUGUCAUUUCAAGACAUGAUCUAAACAUAUGGUGCUAAUCUUUGCUCUUUUAUAUAU